ACCUUCACCAUUUCCUUCACCUACAGCACCGGUAACACCUUCUCCAUCACCUUCUACGCCUUCACCAUUUCCUUCACCUACAACACCGGUAACACCACCUUCACCCUCACAUUCCCCUCCAUCACCUUCUACGCCUUCACCUACAACACCGGUUACACCUUCUCCCUCACAUUCACCUCCAUCACCUGCUACACCUUCACCAUUUCCUUCACCUACAACACCGGUAACACCUUCACCCUCACAUUCCCCUCCAUCACCUGCUACACCUUCACCAUUUCCUUCACCUACAACACCGGUAACACCUUCACCCUCACAUUCCCCUCCGUCACCUGCUACACCUACAACACCGGUAACACCUUCACCUUCACAUUCCCCUCCGUCACCUGCUACACCUUCACCAUUUCCUUCACCUACAACACCGGUAACACCUUCACCUUCACAUUCCCCUCCGUCACCUGCUACACCUUCACCAUUUCCUUCACCUACAACUCCUGUAACACCUUCACCUCCAUCGCCUUCUACUCCUUCACCCUUUCCUUCACCUACGACACCUGUGACACCUUCACCUGUUCAUAGUCCUCCUUCUCCAGUGUAUUUGCCACCGCCACAUU
rnacentral:lncRNA from 1 species